ACAAUGCAUUAUCCUGUCGGUCAUGUGGCUUGUCUGUGGGCUUCAUCCUUCAUUCUGCCGCCAGUGACCUGGCAUAUCUCCGAGGCUUGUUCUGUUUCUUCAAGGACAGAAUCCUCUGUUAUCUCUUAGAAAACCAAAUGGUUAUAGAAGCUUCUAAGGUGGAUUUUCCUGCUGUGACCUUAAAGAAACAAGUGCAGGAACUGAAAGAAAAGCUUGUGGAGUUCCACAUUCGCAUAGAAUUGCUGACGAAGAAGCUGAAGGAACUGGAACAAAGUAAUUAUGCAACACAAUGGCAGAGCUCUGCAUCAGAUACAGAUGGCCUACCACCAGGAUAUGCAGGAGUUAGGAUCAACUAGUAGCUGUUUUCAAGAACUGCUGGAGUUGUUUCUGCAUCUCUGCUGAGUUUGUUCAUUAUGGUGAAAUAAUGCACCAGAUCAGAUUUGAGUGCUGAUCUGUCACUUUAUCUGUGUAUGGAAAGAACUGAUGAUUAAGUUGCAUCCCUUCAGGGGAACACCUGAAAACCUGACAUACUGAAGUUAUGCUUGGAAGACUGAAUAACUCACACAUGCAGCACAUCACUCUCUGAGGCAGUAUAACUGUGACUUUGGUUUUUUCUCUUGGGGGGAAAAACAGCCUUUGAAAUACUAAAGUCAGGCUUCUGGAGCUAUACAAACACACUAACAAGGUGAUAUUCAAGAGGAGCUGUUAUAAAUUGAUCAUUCUUAGAGAUGUAAAGUUUUUGUCUGACCUUUUCAUAUAGAUAGAGUGUUAAUGGCAGCCUGGGUGUUAAUGGCAGCUGGUUGUUGGUGAAGUGGCUCAUUAGCUACAUCUCAUAUGCAGGCACUGCUAAAUGGACUGAAUAGUUAUUUCAGAUUUGCUCAGUGUGUGUGGCCUGCAAAAGGAGCAGGCUAGCAUGUCACAGAUGCUACACACUGUUCUUAUUGCAUGAAUCUGGAUGGCACAAUGCAGGCUCUAGCACAAGGUUUUGGAUUUCAAUUAAAGGGCAACCCAUGCGCUUGCCAAGUCCUCUGGAAUGCAGCCCCAUGACUGCACAGGACUGAGUCAAAUACGUCCAUUUAGGCUGUGAGCAACUGCCUUUAACAAAUUUGAGCACUUCUUUCUGGGGCUGAAACUGUGAAACCAAGGAACAGUCUUCUCCUUCACUUCUGCUCAGUCACGGGAGCUGCUGUGCUGGAGUUUUAAUGAUCUGCCUGCUGCCUUCAAUUGGCCAGUCAAGAUAUUUCAUAAAAAACACCUAAUUGGCAUUUCUUUCUAUUUUGAAUGGGUUCUGCUUAUUUCCAAACACUGGAAAAUAAUUUGAUGGAAAAGAAGGAGCACUACUUACCAUUUGUUACCAGGACAGAGUAUCUUUAUCCCUAAUUCUUGUUUGUUGGAAGGUUGAGGGUUCUUUUCCUCUCCUUUUUGCUGCCUAAAGGGCAAAUGUUUUUCCCUAAGGGGAUCAAAUACUUUAUGGGAAGUUUAGUAAUUGUCUGUAGUAGUCUAGAGAGGAUUCUAUUUACUUGAUCAGCUUAAUUCCAGUGAUGCUACAUGCAAGCAUCUUUCCACCUCAGGUAAAUGUUUUCCAUUUUAUAACUUCACCUUUGUGGUACUUCCUAAGUGACAGCAUUUUGUUGUUGCCUUAGUCUAAGAAAUGUGAUUGAUAAUGGGACUACUUGCUUUUGCCCUUUCAUUUCAGUUUCUGCAAUGGGACUCUUUCUUGCUAUAUAUUUUAUGUCUAUAUAUACUGUGUAUAAUAGUGCUAAAUAGCUUUGCUUCAUCUGCCUAAGUGUCAAUGCCUAAAAGGGAAAGAAAGCUGUCAGUUACAUUUUUAUAUUAUAAUUACAGUUGUGAAAAAGAAUUUUUUAAAUAAAAAAAAAAGCUGACAUUCAGAAAUUCAUAUUGUGCCAAUCAUUGCCAAUAUUGUGAGUCAGAGGCCUGCUUCUUUUUCUUUGAUUAUGUUUGCAGGAAUAAAACAUCGGUUUAUCUUGCUUGAGUCCUGGGUUGUUAUGAAGCAUUUAAUGAACAGUUCCUCACAUUAUAUUACUUAGCAUGAAUUUAAACAAAUAAUGAAUAUAUGCUAAAUAAUAGCUGUUAAUUUUUUAAACUACAUUUCUGUAAUCUUUUGAACUGGGAGGACCUCUAAGUAAAUUCUGGUUUAAGAUGCAAUCUUAAAUAAAUAAAAUAAAUACAUUAUCUUCAGUAAUUUGAGAUGAACAUUUACUGAGAUACCAAGUUAAACCUAUGGAUGCAUUUUGAUUUAAGUGAUACUUAUAAAGUUAUUUGUGAGUCAGCAUUUGAUCCCACAGCCUGUCCGGGAUUCAAAUUCCUUUUAAUCUGAAAUUGCUCAGUGAAUAAAUGUUUUUGUUAUUCUAGAGUCGAGUCUUAUCUCCUGUAGCUAGGCAUCUUGAGAUGUGUUCUAGCCUUCAGU